UCAUAGCUUGUUAUUUAUUUUCUAAGUAUUUUUCCAUACAAAAUACCAAGGUAAAGGAAGUACUAAAAUGUAGUAAAUGCAGUCAAUUAAAACAAAACCAAAGAUUUAAAAGAAGAAGAAAAAACUAGCAGUAGAGGGUGUAUCAUGUGGAGUUAGGGUGUUGUAAGUGAAAUGGAUGGGCUUUGGAACCUCAAGCUCAAAACAAUUCAACCUAUGCAGUGGGGGUGUGCCAUAGAAUUGAGGGUGUAUGUAGUAAAAUGUUGGGCCAAAGGCCCAACCAGAUCCAAACCAAGGCAACGUAAGCAAGGACACACCUCAAUGCUCCGACCAAUUAAAACACACUUCCCUCUCAAAUGAAUCUGGCUGGAACUGUCAACUCCAUCGCGCCAGAAUUCGCCACCGGCGAUGACGAAGACUCAAAUCAACAAAUACUCACAUCAUCCUCUUCGUCUCACUGAGCACUGUCCAAAUCCAACCUCGACUUCUUCUAAUUCUUACCCUAUCACCUAAACCGGACCAUUUAUCACAUGAACCUUAAAACCUAAAACUAAAAUUAAACACUAACCAGGAGGAAACCAAACCUAAAUUCUUAGGGCUUUGGUUCCUCAAACCUCCAAUUACAUGUUGGUAACUAGUUCAGAGUAAAAUGAAGAAGAAGAUGCUCACCUGCUAGAGAUGAGGAAUUCCUAUACGAAUUGCAGUCCGAAUAUGAAGAUGAAGAUGAAAUUCAAAGAGAAGCCAUCAAUAUUCUGAAUUGACAGGUGAAUGUUAUUGAUGAAGUGACUUAAUGCAUUGUUGGGUUUUUCUUUGUAUGAUGCAUGAUUGGUACACGAUGGGUUUGCCACAAUGCUUGGAUGUAUGCUUGGAGAACAUGUAUGCUUGAAGAAGUUUGGAUCAAUGUAAAGAAUGGAGAAUAGACUUUAGGACUUUAGGUAAAGGUUGGUGAGUUGACUUUGGUCAACUGGUUGACCAAAAGGUCAACAGGUGACCAAAGUCAAUUAUAGGUCAAAAAAUGAAAUUUUGUAUGUAAUGACUUGGAUUUGUGUAUUGGUGUACUGAUUUGUAAUUAAGCAAAGAACUUGUGUAUGGUUUGCCCCUUAAUGACUUCUUCCUUCAAAUUGUGACCUUGGAAUUACCCUUGUGUAAACAACUUGAAUUUACUUUGCUUUUUUAAUCAUGAUCUUGAAUAUGAA